GGAAGUGUGCCUGAAAGAUAAGGAC
rnacentral:tRNA from 1 species